AGGGCCCCGGGUGCCAGAUGACCUAGCUACGCCACUGGUGUCGCCAUUCCCCCGGUUGGGUGGCGGGAGAUUUUAAUUUCGAAAAAGGUAUUUGCACCCUUCAGAUGCUAUUUUCUCGUAAACUUAGUCCUUUCUUGGCACGAAACAAGCGUUUCGAAGUUUCUGAAAUGAUACUGAGUCCACGUUGACUUAUUACUUGCCUUUAGUGUCCCUUUAAGGUCAUCAUCAUCAUCAUCAUCAUCAGCAGCAGCAGCAGCAGCCUGGUUACGCCCACUGCAGGGCAAAGGCCUCUCCCAUACUUCUCCAACUACCCCAGUCAUGUACUAAUUGUGGCCACGUUGUCCCUGCAAAUUUAGUCUCAUCCGUCCACCUAACUGUCUGCCGCCCCCUGCUACGUUUCCCUUCUCUAGGAAUCCAGUCCGUAACCCUUAAUGACCAUCGGUUAUCUUCCCUCCUGAUUACAUGUCCUGCCCAUGCCCAUUUAUUUUUCUUGAUUUCAACUAAGAUGUCAUUAACUCGUGUUUGUUCCCUCACCCAAUCUGCUCUGUUCUUAUCCCUUAAUGUUACAGCCAUCAUUCUUCUUUCCAUAGCUUGUUGCGUCUUCCUCAAUUUAAGUAGAACCCUUUUCAUAAGCCUCCAGGUUUCUGCCCCGUACGCGAGUACUGGUAAGAAACAGCUGUUAUACACUUUUGUUUUGAGGGAUAAUGGCAACCUGCUGUUCAUGUUCUGAGAAGGCCUGCCAAAUGCACCCCAGCCCAUCCUUAUUCUUCUGAUUAUUUCAGUUUCGUGAUCUGGAUUCAUAGUCACUACCUGCCCUAAUAGAUGUAUUUCCUUACCACUUCCAGUGCCUUGCUACUUAUUGUAAACUGCUGUUCUCUUCCGAGACUGUUAAACAGUAUUUUAGUUUUCUGCAGAUUAAUUUUAGACCCACCCUUCUGCUUUGCCUCUCCAGGUCAGUGAGCAUGCAUUGCAAUUGGUCCCCUGAGUUACUAAGCAAGGCAAUAUCAUCAGCGAAUCGCAAGUUACUAAGGUAUUCUCCAUUAACUCUUACCCCAAUUCUUCCCAAUCCAAGUCUCUGAAUACCUCCUGUAAACACGCUGUUAAUAGCAUUGGAGAGAUAGUAUCUCCCUGCCUGACACCUUUCUUUAUUGGGAUUUUGUUGCUUUCUUUAUGGAGGACUAUGGUGGCUGUGGAGCCACUAUAGAUACCUUUCAGUAUUUUUACAUACGGCUCGUCUACAACCAGAUUCCGUAAUGCAUCCAUGACUGCUGAGGUUUCGACUGUAUCAAAAGCUUUCUCGUAAUCAAUGAAAGCUAUAUAUAAGGGUUGGUUAUAUUCCGCACAUUUCUCUAUCACCUGAUUGAUAGUGUGAAUAUGGUCUAUUGUUGAGUAGCCUUUACGAAAUCCUGCCUGGUCCUUUGCUUGACAGAAGUCUAGAGUGUUCCUGAUUCUAUUUGCGAUUACCUUAGUAAAUACUUUGUAGGCAACAGACAGUAAGCUGAUGGGUCUAUAAUUUUUCAAGUCUUUGGCGUCCCCUUUCUUAUGGAUUAGGAUUAUGUUAACAUUCUCCCAAUAUUCCGGUAUGCUUGAGAUCAUGAGGCAUUGCGUAUACAGGGUGGUCAGUUUCUCUAGAGGAAUCUGCCCACCAUCCUUCAACAAAUCUGCUGUUACCUGAUCCUCCUCAGCUGCCUUCCCCCUUUGCAUAGCUGCCAAGGCUUUCUUUACUUCUUCCGGCGUUACUUGUGGGAAUUCAAAUUCCUCUAGACUAUUCUCUCUUCCAUUAUUGUCGUGGGUGCCACUGGUACUGUAUAAAUCUCUGUCAAACUCCUCAGCCACUUGAACUAUCUUUAACUAUCUUGAACCCUUUAAAGUAUUGGUCUGAAAUUCUAUAUUUGUUAAUUUCUUGUUAAUAGGUUGGUUCCUAAAAGAAAAAAUUAAGCUUAGGUUAAUGCACCAUUUCAAAAAUUUUGCACCAGAACCGAAGUGCUCCUAGGCUAGUGGGUCGCCACAGCUUUCAAAGCGUAUUUUUCAUAUUUGUGCAAUUGUAGGUCAGUAAAAGCUUUUGAAAUUUGCUUAGUUCGGCCCUUGACUUUUCUAAAAUGCAAUGUAGUCCAUCUUUACAGAUAAAACAAUAUGUGACUUCAUAAUAAAUAGCUAGUGUGGGAACUUCUAGGUGGCGGCACCACCCGUUUUUCCUCUUCGUGUCUUUUGUAGUGUGUCACUUCUCAUGAUAAGACUAGGUUUUAGCUAUUGUAGGAGGGUAAUUUACCAUAAUACAGCUCAAGUUAUUUUUCUCUUCAGUCUUUUAAUAGUGGCACACAGGCAGAACUAGCAGAGAGUCUGCACUACUUUGCAUUAAGCUUGUUGUGUACAUUUCUUAAUUUAUACAAAUAUAAGGUGGUUGUUGUACUAACCAGCCUGCAUGUUAAACAUUCAAUUUCUGCUUGCUUUAUUUGGUGUCCUGCCUUUCCAAUUUACAAGAUUACUUGUUGAUGUGAUGUGAAAAUUUUAUGUGAAGCUAAGGGUUGAAACAUUUGUUGUCACUUCAGCCUUUAUAGUAUCGUAUGGUUUUCAUGCAUAAGAAUAGCCAAAGGAUGUUUACAUGUGAACAAAAAUUAGUGUAAUGUGUGUAGUGUGUUUUACAUGUGGCUGGAGCCUUUCCAAAUAAGAGUCACAUAUUGCUUAUUUCAUUUGGUAAGUGCACUGCCUUGCUGUGUUAUGUGAACUAUCUUUGUGUCUGAAAUCUUCAAGCUGGUUGGGGCAAUUUCGGUAUCACUUGACCACUAAAGCUAUAAUUUUAGUGCUUCCAAAUUGCGAUGCUCAGGGUGUAGUGGUAUCUAUGGAUUUUCUUCUUGCUAAUCACUAACCCCGCUGUGUUGUUGCUGUUGUGUGCCAUGUUGGCAACUUACCAAUGUGCAUUGAUGUACAAACGGACAUUGCUUUUGAGCAGCAUCUUAUGUAACGUUGGGAAUGUUGUUUGAAUUGUGAUGUAGCAAUAACAAAAUGUUGUAUUCUGUAAGGUUCUCUUCUUUCACAUUCAUGUAUUUUUUCUGGUGAUGCUCUUUGUUAUGUAGUUACAGCAAACAGCAGUUUUUUAGAAAGUCUGUAGCAUGUUAAAUUAUUGUUAUUUGCUAUAGCCUUCCUGUUUACGUGAAACUGACAGGUGUGGGUUGAGAAAGCUGUCAAGGUCCUUCAAGGUCGCCCUGCUUGACCCCUGUCCAAGUUUACGUGAAGCUGGCGUUACUGAGACAGCAGUACAGGCUUGCAUGCAAAUGGACCAUGUGGAUGACAGGCUAGUCUUGAAAUUUGUAAUAUGUUUCUGCAAACUUGAAGGCCACACUGUGAAAUUAAAAAUUAGUUUCUCUCUUCUGGCUGCAGAUCGAUUGACUGCAGAUUGACUUGACCUGCCUCAAGCACUCAUGCAGUCCAACCUGCUAGUGUUAAUGCAUAAACGUUACAGCUGGUUUCUGGCACAAUGAAGCAGCUCAACCCAUCCCUGUCGAGUUUGGGUAAACGCCCCUAACUUUAGGCAGCCCUUGGCAAGAAGCAAGUUGCGGUGGAUUAAGUUGCCAACCAUCUGGCGGUUCUCUUUCUCCCGCAGAAGUCAUGAGCCAAGUGCAGAUGGCUCGUGCAGCUGCUGUUGCCGUCGCGUCGUGUCCCGACGCCCGUGACUGCCCCAUGUGCGACUAUGUGGCCACAGCAAGGUCAUCGCUGAUCAUCCACAUGCGCAAGCACACUGGAGAGCGGCCCUAUCGCUGCCACCUGUGCCCUGCCGCGUUCGCCAAGAGCAGUGACCGCAGCCGCCACUUUCGUACCCACCAGCUGCACAAGCCCUUUAACUGUGGCAGUUGUGGCAAGUCGUUUGCACAGAGGGUAACACUGCUCUCGCAUCGCUGUCUUCUGACUGGUAGCACAGGCUUUAAGGGCCAGUGCCAUAAGUGUUUGAAAAUGUUUGCCAAUGCUGCUCUACUAAAGGAACACACUCGUGAGUGCGGAAGUGCUGCAGCAGGGCCUCUUUUAGACUAGCCAAUGGAUAGGUUAUAUAGGAGGGGCACGUAGGAAUGGCAAGGCCUUCUGUUUAACGAUAGGAGAGGUGAUGUAUGAAAAAUAUGAACUUUCGUGGUGAACCAGUUCUGAAACGGUGAGAUGACAGAACAAGAGCACAAUUCGAACACUAUCUAGUUGGCUAUAAGAAGCAUGCAUUAAUGAUUAACGAGUGAAAAACAGUCAGUAUGAAUUGCACAGGGGGAUAGGCUAGUCAGUUUGCGUUUAACAUGACUAACAGAGGGGACCACAGGACAAGUGAACAACAGUGAGUGCCAGUGCACCUGUGCCGUUGUCUGCACUCUUUGCCAUAUUGAGGUGGCAUGCAGAAACCAAGGCCACAUAAAAAAAAAAAAAGGUCCUGCACUUUCUUUCCUCAUCCCCGGUCUCCAUUUAUGCAUGUAUAUAUUGUAUGUCUAUUUUACAAUACUUAUGUACAUCUAUAGCUUGUUGAAACUGAUAGGUGUGGUGUUAAGCAGGAAGAAAACAGGAAAUGCCAGAACAUGUGAUCACAAAGCAUGUAAUGCAGCAGUGUUUACAUUGUCAGCUACGCUAUGGGUGUUCCUAUUUAAAGGAACACUUCAGGCAAAGAGUUCAUCCAUCCAUACUGUUGGGUUACCCUUCUGGAAUCGGCAAAAUGUGGUUUUACGUGAAGAGGUGACAGUUGCCGAGAAAAUCUUGACUGGAGGAGGCUGGACACUUUUCCACAAUUGAGGUUACCUGCACCAAAAGGGCUUAUUAAUAUUGUAGCUGUUCUAGAGAUCAUGGAGGUCAUGCUUUGCCAAGGUACCACUGCCUGUAUUGAGUCAUUGGCAUGCAUGGAGAGUUCACCAUACUGCUGCAUAAAGCAUUGACAGAGUGGUGUAAAGACGUAACUCUUGCGAGUCUUCUAGGAAAACCCACUAAGUGUCGCCAAACUGCAUUCUAUUCCAUGCUAAAGUGCAAUGUAAAUAACUUUUCUGUUGCUAGAAGUUGGCUGCUAUUUGCCAGUUAUAAAUGUGAUGUUUUUCAUCAGUGAAGCUGGCUCUGUAUUUUCAUGGCAGCUGUACCUGUUCCAUCCAACAUUUGUCAUUUUUGAAUUUACGAAAGCUGUUUUUGGUAUGAUGUUCGAACACCUUGGAAUAUAAAUCUGUUUCUUCAGCUUAGCCUAAUGUUUGGCCUUCUCUUUGAUGCCCACAUUGACAGAAACUAGUCACUAUUUCAGGCUAUAAUUAGAGUAGUCAUAUUACUAUGAGAGCUUGUGGUUCUGCUCCAUUUGCUGCUUGAAGCCACUGUAAGAGGGAAUUUUUAGGAGGUACUCUAUUUGAACAGUGAUGGCAGCGAGAUAGAAUCAUCUUGACACCAGAUACGAUGAUGCGAUGAACACAUUUACAACAUGCUGUUGUACUUGUAGCUGAGGUGGACUGCAGGCUCAUCACUCACACUGCUUGUUGUAGUCUGGUUGACUGCCAUUUUGUGGAUUUCACACAACUCUUAGGUUUUCUACCUGUGGCCUGUUGGUACCUGAACUCUGCGGACUGUUGGUACCUUGAGUAGGCAUAUUGCCUGGAGUUGAAGUUGUGAUGCUGGCAUCAGCAGAGCCAACUGUUUUGGAAAACAUGUGCACUAGUCUAUUUUUACAAACAGUGUGACAGUAAAGUGCUAAAGUUUAUUUUUGUAGCAAAUAUUUAGUCCACUGGCACUGUAUUAUGAUGGUGGGAAAAUUCAGAAAUGCUUCUGUACUUAGAUUCAGGUGCACAUAUUAAAGUACUUAUGCUGGUCAUAAUUCAUGUCAACCCACGAUGGCCUUCCUCGAUGCUCACUGUCCAGUUUCAUAAUGUUGAGCCGCAUUAGCUAUCACUUCUGCGGGACAAGUGUGUACUGGAGUGUGUGGCUCGUGUUCAGCUGCUCUGAAGGGGGCUGAAUACUUUUUAUGAUUGCGACCCUUAUAAAACGUGUGCCAUUCAUCACAUUAUUCACUAACUGACCAAGUGGUUCUCUGACUUUUGUGGAGCCUCCUGGUAAUGUCCAAAAGUGCAAUUCUUUAUUUACAUUUUCAUUCUGCAGUCAGUAAAUGGAUUGCUUGUCACUAAAGCUUCAGGCAUUGCAAGCAUGUGAUAUGCUGCUGAAACUUGGCCCUCACUUGCAACUUCUUUAGAGCAGUAUUGGCACAAAUUCUGUGUCAUUUUUAUUUUCCUCCUUUAUUAGGCAGCUCUAGUUUUUCGAAGCCUCACUUUCUCAAACAUGCAAGGAAUAAAGAAUUGCAUAAUAUUUUAAUGCAGCCAGUUCAAAAUGUAUGUCAAGCGCAGUUCAACUUCAGUCAUUGUGACAGCUGGCAAUGAUGGCAGUUAAUUAGUGUUGCGAACCUUUGACGCGUGUGCCAGUCAGCCCUUUGCAAUAAACAUAGGCCAUACUGUCAAAGGAUUGCCAAAAACUGAGCCCGCGUUGGCUUACUUCCUGCUUCAUUGUGCACUUUUUGUGUUUAGCAAAGGAUAAGCCUACAUAUUAGAAAAGUGCAUAGUUUGACAGAAUAAACAGAUUUCGCUCAUACUCGCUCACUAGUAUUCUCGCAGGCUAUGUUCUCGCUCACACUUGCAUGCGCUCACACUUUUCAGCACUUGCUCACAUUCCUACUCAUGCCCACUCAUGCUCAUCAACACUCAUUCGCUUUCAUAGUCAUUUCUAUUCACACAUACCAGCACCGACUCUCGCUGAUUGGCACUCGCUUGCAAACGUAAUCGUGUUCACUACACUUGGUGAUAGUAAAAUAUGUUCAUGCUCGCAUCCAUUCAGAAUCACUGUCGCUUUGCACUUUCGUUUAUGGGCACUCACUUCCGUUCAUAUGUCCAGUCACGGCCUUCAUCGCUCACUAGUGCUCCCUCUCAUGCCUGCAAAAUAAGGGUGAGUCGAGUACGACCCAGUGUACUCAUGAGUGAGUAUGCCGAACUAUGGCAUAAGUUGAGCAGGAUGGCGGUUACUGAGGGGCUAAAUUUUCGUUGGUUACGUCCACAUGAAGCCACAGAAAACACAGGCAAAAUUAACAUACUUUUUAUUUAUUUAUUUAAAUAUGAAAAUAAUAGGGAAAAGGGAAAUGAAAGUGGGCAAAAAGACAACUUGCUGCUGGUGGACCCAAGUUGGCAUCUAAGAGGUUCAUUGAAGAGCAGCACAUACGCAUAGACAAAAGUUGGUUCGAUAGUUUUUUUCGAACCCUGUUCCCUCAGCAUCGCAGCCUGAUGCUGUAACCUUUAGACCAUUGACUAUAUAUAUAUAAACGGUGACCCAAGUUGACAGGAAAACAGUUAGAGACAUGCAUAGGUAGGCCCCUAAAAGUGUGCAAAGUUUCCAAAGAAUGCUAAUCGCAUUAAAAAUGUUCUAGUGCACUCUAACUGUGGUAUACUUACUUAUUGCAUCGUGUCCGAAGCCACACUGCGCUUGAAGCAUGUUCUGAACUAGUUGCUACAAAAGUUUAUGUAGUUAUUUGUUGUGUAAACCCGCCGUGGUUGCUCAGCGGCUAUGGUGUUAGGCUGCUGAGCACAAGGUCGCGGGAUUGAAUCCCGGCCACGGUGGCCGCAUUUCGAUGGGGGCGAAAUGCGAAGACACCCGUGUACUUAGAUUUAGGUGCACGUUAAAGAACCCCAGGUGGUCAAAAUUUCCGGAGUCCUCCACUACGGCAUGCCUCAUAAUCAGAAAGUGGUGUUGGCAUGUAAAACCCCAUAAUUUAUUUUUGUUUGUUGUGUAAAUCAGAAAUUUAUGGUUCAUACCUUAUUUUCAUGUGGCCACUAUGAAAAGUAAUGCUGUACACUAAUGAAGUCACGUCUGUGUAGCAGAAAUCCUUGCACUAACACCAGUAGCACCACUAGCAUCAUUGUCACUGUGUGCUGUGAAAUACAGUGAUGUUCUGCUUAGUUGUGUCUCAAUGUGUGUGACAGAGGCUUUUAGAGAAAACUACCUUGAAUGCCAAUAUAUUUUGUAACACAUUGUGGUUCAAUGUCUUGAAUCUGUUGGUUGCCUGAACAUUUCUGCUAAAAUGACAUGACUUCACUAAUACCAAGCCCUAAUUACUCUCUGGCAACAUGGGCUAUAAAGUAUAUAUUUCAACAGAUAAUUACCAGUAGUUUGUUAACUGAUCAUCACAAAAUGUGAAGCCAGUGAUGUUUUCAAGCCAGUCUUCUUGAAAAUACCUUUUCUGUGUUAAAGCAAGAACAAAUCCACAGGGUAUUUCAAAAGUAUGGCAUUAGCGGUUCAACUCAUUUAUGUAUAUGUAUGCUUCAUGCUAGCUCAGUUGGAGUUACUUGCCAUAUUGCGCAUGCUCUUUGCAUGUACCUACAAGUCAUUUGUGUGCCAUGACCUGAAGCUGCUGCCCUGUUACCUCGUUUCUUUAUUUUUGUGCUGCCAAAACUUUUCUCAUUUGUUGUUCAUCCUGUGAAAGGCAGAUAUGGUAGCACUAUUUAUAGAUUGAGUUAGGAUAUAUAUUAUGGCAUUGUUAGAUGUGUGGCAGAUACCCAUAAUUUUCGCCUAUCUUUCUGGCAUCUUUCAGAACAAGGAAUAUUACAGCAGACAAACUGUUGUCAGAAGUUUGGCUGUUUUUGUUUUUAUUGAGAUAAUUCAAUCGUUAUUACUUUGUCUUGUGCAAACUAGCUGUGGUGUCUCUACUUUGUGCUUACUGCUGUUAAUUUUUGCCUGGAGAGUGGUACAGUGUAGACCGGUGUUAAAAAAAGUGCAUAGCUAGAUGGAUUAAUGCCCAUAUAAACUUGAGCAUUUUUCUAUUUAUUAAAAUUAGGGCCAAGGGGCUCAUGUGGCUUAUUUGGCAUACUUGUAUGCAUAGAAAUAUAAUCUGCAAGCCUUCAUGUUGUACAACUGUGUGAAUUGUAACCACUGGCAUACAGCUAUGUGUUCCCUUUAAAAGUGCACCAUACUGUACUUCAUUACUAUUGAGCAUUUGAAACCAUUAAAAAACACUUUCUCUGUAGUUACUUGUGUAAGAAUUUGUUUUAGGUAAGCUUCAAAAUGCAUUCCGUGCAUGUUGGCUGCUAGCUGCUGUGGCAAACAAAAAUCUUUGAUGCGAAUGCCAUGUAACUUGAAACAGUAGCACUUUAGUGCAUCUUCUUGCAUGUUGUUUUGUCAUUUGAGGAGCACACUUGUGCAUGUUAUUUCAGGGCAGCCAUUGUUAAUCAUUUUAUAAUAAAAAUUAUUUUUUACUCCCAGACCAGAAGCUGAAUGUGAAUUUCUUGUCACCCACCCUACUGCACUGUGAGCAGUCUUAUUGCUGUACCUGUGCUUUCACACAAAUUUAUUUCUUGCAGAUCUUGCAGUGUUUGAUGGAAAAUAAGAAUAGAAUGUCCGCAAUAAAUAAACUGUAUAGUUCAUGGGCUUUAACAUAGGGCAGUGCUUGCUUGUAUUCUAUGGGCACUGGACUUGGGAGGAUUCUGGGCCACCAGGUUUCCAAUAUGCAGUUGGAACAUAGCAGCCUUACUUAAAUGGCAGUGUGGUAUUGAGUUGACAUGCCAUUUCGAAGCUGGCACCAGGCGUCAUGCUAUUAAAGGGCACUUCUAGUGGCAUAGAGGGGCGUACAAAAAUGAACAUUCAACAUUUUUGGAAUUCUCAGCCAAACAGCUUGUAAAGCUGGCACUGUACCAUCUUAUACCAGUGUCACAGUGGCACUUCCACUUGCAAUUGAGCUCAAUCAUGAUUGAAUUUUUGAAUCGCAAUUGGCUGCUUUGCACAAGCUGCAUGAAGGAGACAGCCACAAUCGAGCCCAAUUGCAAUAAAAAGUGUCUCUAAUGACUGGUGUAUACAGAUCACUAGCCUUGGACAAUAACUUCUUGAAUACUCAUUGCCACAUAAUUUACACUGCAUUACAUACCCAGUGUUUAAAAAGCCUGCAUAAUAAGGAAACUGUGCCCAUAGGCCAGUGCGUCACAAAACAUGUAGUAGAAAAAUUUUAAUGAUAAGUGGAGAGGAUGGCAUGAUACUUCAGGUGGAAUGGGCAGUGAGGGAGGAAAGAGCGAGAGAGAGAAAACAAGAAACAUGCAAACAUGUGCAGAACACAAAACUUGGAAAAUGUUGAUAACAUUUUGCACCAUAAAAUGAACGAAGUGGAUAUUGUUGCUAUGGAAAUGGCAAGAAACAAAAUUUUGUCCGUCACCAUCCUCCUGGCAUCUUGUGCACAUCCCAUAGGACAACAAUGGAGAGAGCAGCCGAUUGUUUUUAAAACGCAGGUAAUAGAUUUUCCCAGGAAAGCUGCCCUUCCUUUUUUGAUAAAAGUUGCAAUGUGGGCUCGUUGGUACUGUACCGUAACAUGUUCUAGUAGCACAAGCAGUAACAUUGACACAAGACACGUAUACACAGUGCUAACUUCCAGUAAUGCAAUGUUGUUUGAAGUUUGCACUAUGUGUACAUUGUUGGAAGUUAGCAGUGUGCAUGUGUAUUUGUAUCAGCUCAUGCUACAAUGCUCCGUUUUAUGGGUAGCAGGCAAUGCAAAAGGUGCUGUGCAAGUAGUGUGGUCCUAGAGGUCUCACUGCAUGCCUUUUGUAAGGCAGUUUUUUAAUCUGCGAUGUUUUCCUUGGAAGGUCUGCUUCAUAUACUAUGACUAUGUGUGGAUGCAAUUUUAUUUCAAAUCACAUAUUACUUGUUUGCUUCUGUAUUACCAGUAUACAGAUAGCGUACUAUAUGUGUGUUGCGAUUGCUGAAGACAUGCUGUAGUCACUGGUUGCAGAAACGUGUCGCUCUGCUCGUUUUGUGGUAAAUAGAUUCAGAUCUCUGAUCUCGUUCUUGUAAUAAAUACUCCAUAUUUCGCUACAUAAAUGUAUGACUCUUAAUUUUACAUUGAAUUACAUAAUGCUUUCCUGCAUAAUUAUCUUUCAUGCGUGGUGCACUAUUUUUUGGUUGCGGAUGUCAGCAGUGAGGGAAGUCUAGCCUUUUUAGCAUUGCCUGUUACGUAUCAAGCACCUUAUAGAACACCUUACAAUGGUACAAUUUUGGUCACUGCUGUAUAUAGGUGUGUUCUCUGAACAAAAUGCACUGCCCAUUCUGUAGUGCACUUGGUUAUUUGCAUAAAUAAUACAACUGACAGUUUUGCAAUUGUUCUACAAAAUUUUGAAGGUCAGCUUGCACAAACUGUGCUCUUUAGUACAGGAGAUCCACUUGCAACCUGCAAUGUUUUAUGUGAGUUUUACAAAAUUAAUAUCUUAAAGUGGUGCUUUCUUUCACUAUUUCCUUUACUUUUUGGGCGCUGGCUGUCUUGCCGAGUUGGCACAGGCCCACUAACAAAUGCUACUUCCCACUAGGCCAGUACCGGCUAGUAUUGCCUUUGUGCGACACUAGGGCCGUAGUAGUACUACUCGUCUACCUUAAGCCAAAGUUUUCUUUACCUAUUCCCUCACAGGCAUAGGUAACUGUACAAUAUAGAGAUAGAGAUUUUAAUGAAGAGAGACAAGGUGAAGGAGAUAUAGGCAGUAUGCUAGACAGCUAUGUAUGUAUAUAAUAUAUAAUUAGUUCAAGCAGGCUAGGUUACUAUUCACCGCUACCACGUUUCAAAGAUUAUGCAAACAAACCAUCACCUUGUGAAACCAUUCAUCACUAUUCUUCAAAUUACGUUCCCGUAGCAGGAAACAUCUGUGUCAGGCCUGGUAGUGAAGCAUAUGUAAAGGUCAACUAAAACAAAAUGAAAAUACGCCAGUAACAGCGUGUCAUAAAUCAUUGGUCUACAGCCGCUAAAGUGGCAUCUAUGUAAGCCUCCCCCCCUCUCUCUUUGGUGCAAAGUGUGGAGGUGUUGGGCUUAGGCAGACUGUAGACCAAUGAGUAAUGACACAUUGUUACAGUGAAAUUGUUGUAUGCUUCGCCAUUACGGACUUGGGCGAUCCGAUUUGGACAAAAGUUAAGCGCUGGUCCUCUUAUGGUGCGCAUUGCCAUUGGAUAGGAACAAAAUAAGCAAAUCGCGUUCUCCUUUGUAGUGCCUAGGCACAGUUACCCGUUUUCUCUCUCGCAACUCGCACGUGCAUACAAGCAUAGAGCAUAGGUGGCACAGCUUUCGAGCAUCUGCUCCCUUGACAAAUUGGAAAUGUGUGUUUCUAUGCCUGAAAAAAGAAAAGGCAAUAUGUUGAGUUUCACUGAUCUAAAUGUUACCGGAAAUAUGUGGUGCGGGCGCAUGUGCAUCAGUGUGUGCUGUAAAUCAAAUUACAUUAAAUUAGUUUUAUGUGUCUACAACAUGCACCCUUCUAAAUAUGUGUUUUGUGUGCAGAAGCACUUCUAAAAAAAGGGGGUACCGACAUAAUAUUUCCGACAACUUUUUUUUCUUGCGGUAAAUGAAGGUACUAGACCUCUGUAAGCUCUAGAAAAAAUAGUGACAUGCCUUGAAGCACUGUAAAUAAUUUAUAUGAUAGCUUUUCUAAUGUCAAUUUUGGUUUCGUUUCCCAGGAGGAUACUGCAUUGUGACAUUGCAGCAAGUAGCGUUGUGCUACUAGGCCUGAGGGUGCUGGAUUGAAUCUCGGCUGCAGUGGCCGCAUUUCAGUGGGGGUGAAAUGUAAGAAUGCCCAUGUACCAUGCAUAUUGGGUGCACAUUAAAGAAUCCCAGGUGGCCCAAAUUAAUCCAGACUUGAUUAGGAAUGCUCAGGGGAAGGGGGGAUGGGGAGGCUGGGGAGGCUGGGUAGACCACGUAAAAAAAAAAAAAGAAAAAAAAACAGGGGAGAGGGGGGAGGCAUGUGCCCAGGUGCCCCCCGCGUUACCACUGGCUAUACCACUGCAGUUAGAUGUUUACUGUUGAGGCACGUCUUUGAAAGUGAAUGUAGUCAUUUAACCAAGGGCCCGCCACAUUGAUUCACCUCGGAAUCUCAGAAUACAAUGAAAAUGCUACAAAUUCAAACUGGGAGUCUUUUCACUGGCACAAAGAAAGCUUUCAUAAAGUGGUCGAUUAAAUGCUGUAAAACUAAAUGCGAUGCUCAUCAUCAUCUUGUGCAAAUAAUGUCAUGUGAAUGUGUGUGCACUAACGGUGUUCACAAGCUAUGUCGAAAUGCAAACAGCAGUUCGUGCGAAUGCUUACUGUGAGAUGACAAUAUAGUCAUGUCACGAGGAGGAAAGUGAAGCUUUCAGACAUUUUAUGCCAUAUGAACAUGCUAAUCGUAUCAAAAAUAGUUAUCUUGACGAGAGAAGUUUGUGCGCGAGUGACGUAAUGGUUUGGGAAAGAGAGACAAUUUAUUGAUACAAGAGGUUAUGUGGAACCUCCUGUCAAAAGGGUCGGGCAUUGGAUCCUGUACGUGGUGAAUGUGUGUCAUAUUGGGAAGUGCCACGGUGUUGGUUGUAGAUGCUAGGCCAACAUGUAGGAAAAGGAAGGGGCAAGUUUGUGUCGGGUGAAACGCCCGAAUGCAGUAGGCGUGUCGGAGACUACCCACAGACAUGAUAUGUGUGAGGUGACCUUGUUUGGUGUGUUGAAUGGCUACAUUAUUAGUUGGUCAUCAUGUGCCAACCAUGUGCGCCGAGUGCUGAUAGCUUCAUGGGCGCUAUGUUCUGGCUGCUUAGUUCGUGUUGAAGCAAAAGGCAGCACGAAGGUCAAUUCACUCGCUGCUGCUGCCACGCUUUCUCACUUCAGCAUUUUGACAGCAAAUGUGCGCGGUCAUCGAGCGAGAUGUGUUCACGUUUGCUUCUGCACACAUGACACCAUGCUUAUUUAGUAAGUGAAGUUUGCGAUUUAGCAGGGUGAAGUUGUAGGCCAGUUGGUGAGACAUUGUGAAUAAAACCACUACAGACACGGGUUGGAGGGAGAUGACAACACAGGAUGUCAACCAGGUAGUCAGACCCACUAAUUUUGAAAGAAUCUUUGGGUUUGAGUUCGCUCAGAUGUGUUUUAAGGAACUUGCCAACUUGUACCUGCCAGCUUCCCCUUUCCGUUACAAUGGCCCUGAACGGGCAUGAAUCUUUGAGUAUUAGCGGUGAAGAAAAUGCUCAGAACAUUCAAAUCGCACUCCGUGACCUGUUUUGCCAGCUUCUGCAGGUUGAGAUCUUCUAAAAGAGCAAGUGCCCUGCUCUUCACCUUGGACGGCUUUAGAGAUACGGCCUUGAAAUUCUUACUCACAGCAUUCUUGGCUUUUUCUGUGAAAAAAGUUCUGUGGAAGCAUGGUGAAGCCACCUUCCUUGUCAACCUGGACCAGAGCAAGGUCGUUCUCACGAAAAUGACGGGCGAUUUCACGUAAAGCUUGAGAACUACUGGACUUCUUGGUCAAAUUCAAUUAGCGGGCCAGUCAAGAGACCUCUGUCAGGCCACGGCAACCCCCUGCUAUUCCCGACAUUACAGCCAGGCCUCGUCCUGGCUUGAUGAAAUCCUCGUGUUUGCCUAGGGUCAACUAAGAUUUACUUAUAACAGUUCCAAGCAUCACUGGGGACCACCACUUCUGGCACCUCCACAAUCACACAUCAAACCCCAGUAGUGCCUGCUAGUGCUUCACUGUGCUGUUGGUUUGCUAAAAGAAUGUAUUGUUUGUUUGCUGCAAAAGAAUUUAUCAUUUCAGGUGCUCAUGCAUUGCCAAUCAUCAGUAGAGGCACUCCCUUGAAGAAACCUUGUUACAACAUCCAACUCGCCAUUAAGGUAGUAUGCACACCUGUAUGGACAAGUUCCUCAUUGAAAUCUAGGCUGCAAAGCAGGCAUCAGCUCUCACCGAUUGCCUUGCUGUAGACCAGCAGCAGCGAGUAUGGCACCACAGGCAUUUUCGGAGCAAACUAAGCAACACUCAUGGCAUGUGUGUGGUGGCAAAGCUUCGAGGCAUGUGAAGAACUGUGAUAGCUGCAUACAUAAGUGUGGAUGGGUUGUCCUCCUAACCGAAAAUGGUAGAGCCUUUAUAACACUUUUGUGAGCCUUCAGAAAACUGUUGCACAGCUGGCAAAUGUAUCAAAUGGGAUUGCGAAUGUAUGGUUUGGGACAAAGGCUUCAGCAAUGAAUUAUCCGAGAUAAAGUAAGAUUGUAAUUAUGUAUUCAUGGGGUUCUGCGGUGCACCUGUAGACAAUAAUAGAGGCUUAACUAUCAUACUAGCAACUGAACUGCUAAUGUGCCAAAGAGGAUUGUAAAAUGUGAGUAUAUAAUGGAUUAGGAUAAAGGCUUCCACAGUGUUUUACCCAAGAUAAAGUGAUUGAGGUAAAGUUUCCAUAGGAUUGUGCUGCACAGUUGCAGUUCACAAAGGAGGCUUAACUACUGCACUAGCAGCAUACCUGCAACUGUACUGCACCCACGUAAGUAGCAUAUUAGUUUUAUAACGUGCUUGUAGCGGUCCAAGGCAGUAUUUGGUAACAUUUGAUAAAAUGAAAUAAUUCCUUUUCAGCCUAUGUAUCUGACAACUGGGCUUCAGCAAAGGAAGAUGGCUACCUGCAUUCGUUUCAUUUUCAUCCACUCAUUUUUGGCUUACAAUAUUUCAAGCCUAUGCUUUCUGAGAUGUGCUUGCUUUAUUUUUUUUUUUUUAUGCCUAACGCUCUUGCUUUUUGUCUGCUGCAGUCUGUAGAGCGAACUGCACUGUGCGGGCUGUGUUUUCUGGUGCUGCAGUUUCAGUGGUGGUAGUGAAAGUGACUUAAUGCGUAAGCAUUUUUUGGCGAGUACCCCAGCAAAAUUGGUCUGUCAUGCGAAAACUGUAAUGCCUUGUGCCUGCACAAGGAUGUGUAACUUGUGAAGUUAAGGCAUUUAAUUGUUAUAAUAGUGUAAAUGUAGAUUAUUGGUACCUUUAUAAGCGAGAAGGAACUAUUCAAAUAAAUAUAAUAUUGAUCGGAGAGUGAAAACCCUUCUCGUCAAACUGCCUUGAAACCUGACUUUUCCGCAUUACAGGUCUGUGUGCAGAGAAGGCUUCUGGGGGGCUUCAAAGUAUAAAACUAAUUAUUGAUUGGUACAUGUGAUUAUAGUUUAAUAACAAUAAUAAGUUAGUAAUAAUAAAAGGAAAAUGAAAUGAAAUAAAACAGGGUAAAAAACAGUUGUGGUGAAACUGGCUGCAACAGCAUUCCAGCUCAAUUGAUACGAACACAUUGAAGGGGCCCUUCAGCUUCCUGGCAGCUCGUCUCUGCACCGUUCAGUACACGGAUUUCAUUUCUUUGGCACUAGAAAAGUGAUGGGUAGACUUGCAUGACCUAGGAAAAGCAAGUAAGCAAAAGCGGAGUAACAGCUUACCCAAAGAAUGCUUAUGCAUUAGUAGAUAAUUCUCAGAAUUUCUGUGCCAUAUUUUAGGCCUGGAACUGCCUUAUUUUCUCUCCUUGAGGGAGGGACAAUCACCGCAAUGUUUGUCUCACAUUGGGGUUUUCAACAUGCUUGGUGUUCUGUGGCAAUGAACUGUCACAAGUGUAUUUUUAUGAUGUACUUUUGCUUGCUGUGUCUUUCUUAUUAUUUUGUUCUGUCAUUUAUUUUGUGUUCUUGCUUUUCAAGUUAGCAUGGAGCCUUAGAGUGAGGGGACGUAAUAUUUCUGCUUUUGGGUCUGUUUAUCUGGUCAAUUGUCGCAUGCCAAUAGCACUUAAUUUUGUUUGAGAGCUCCUUUCUGCAUGCAGAAACGAUUCCUCUUGGGGAGGGCAAGACUGCUCAGUCACUCCUGCCACCAUACAUUGAAGAUGUCCCACUUGCUGGUUUUGUCUUUGUAUUGAGAAGCUAUGAAUAUAAUUUUAAACCAUGGAAGUGGCCCGCUACGUGCUAGUGCACGUUUCGAUGAACCUCAAUAAAGUUUUUCCAUCCAUCCGAUGUGCCACUUUGUUACACUUUUUUAUUGUAAUCUAGAAGCACUAAAUUUUUGAAAGGCCAGCUCUUCAAGAACUGUCAGAAUAUAAGGGUAGCUAUAGUAUACCAAAUCUGAACACUCUUGAGCGAAGUGCCAACAAGAUGGAUGUGCAUUAGCUUGCAGUUUACAUCAUCCACUUUCAGGCACCAAAGUUCUCUUGUGGCUGCUAGAUUUGUAACUUCAUAGAAAAGCUUGAUUGAGCAAUUCUCCAUCUAAUCCCGUGUCAUGGUACAGGAUGGAUGUUUCCAAAGCAUCUCAUGGGACUGAACUGCAUGAUGUAAGAAUUCCUCUUGCAAUCCCAUGUUUUCACAUUUCCUCAUAGGCUUGGACGUCGUCAGUGCUGAGAUCAGCCAUUCAACAUGUAGUGCGCAGCGUUGGAGUCAAAUGAGAAAAUGUGGAAAGAAUGGAUCACGAAAGAUUCCUUGUGUAAUAUAGCCCUUAAUGUCAUAAGCAGCACCUACUUGAUGGCUUUGUUCCUUGUAGAUCUCAGGAAGGCUAUGUUCAUAUUUAUGUGCAACGCUGUGGCAACGACCUGUUGGAUUUGCUCGCAAACAGUUUGGAGUCCACUUUGCAUGUGUGCCUGUUGUGUAAUAAGAUGCCUUUUGUUGCUUGGUGCUUGCUUGUUGACUGCAUUUUGUAUUCAAUAAGCUGUGGGAGUCUGCUCUGUUUUGUAGCAUUUUUUGUAAAUUAUCUCUAAUGAUUUGUGGCAUUGCUUUUCGUGUGGCAGCGGUGAAUGCUCAUUGCUGGGAGCAUAUCUUUCUUUGUGCUUACUCAUCUUCUUUCUAAUCUGCCAAUCUCAUGCAAACAUGACUGAAUGUGCAGGAACUGCUUAGUGUAUUGGAGAUAGAUUUCUUGCAAGUCUCAAACAAGAGAGGCAAUGCCUCUUGGACGUUCAUAGUUUUUCAUUUCUUUUCCAUUCUUUUUUAACACCGCAGUGCAGGGACCUCCAGUCAUGGACCUGUCGCCAUGCCUCUACACCAAGGUUGGCCCCAGAUACAAGUGCGUCCUGUGUGACUUCGUCACGAAGGUCACUGACAACCUAUGUGCUCACAUGCACGCACAUAACGCUGGGCCGUCCAGCCUCUAUGCCCAGUUUGGACAACAUUGGCAGUGCCUGGUCUGCGGCUACAUCUCGAAGCACCAGGCCUGUGGUGCCAUGCUCGCUGCUGCUGGUCUACUGCAAGGCAAUCGCUUGAAAUGCCAGGACUUGCUACAAUGAACCUGGGGUGAAUUUGAGCCACUACCAGCCCUCAAGCUUAGACAGUCAUUCUGGAUCAAGUCACUUUUGAAAAAAAAAAAAUUAAAUACAAGAAAAUGUUCCUGUCUGGUGCAGUGCUGUAGCAGCUAUCGAGGUUGGAGCAGUUAUCCAACGCUAAUCCCCAAGUUCUGUUCUUUACACAUAUUCAGUGCAUCAGUCACUCUAGUGAAGCUGACGUAAAGUGAAAUGUUUUUGAGAAAAUGACAAUGCAGAAAAUUAUACCUUAGAGGGUAGCUCUAUUUUUUUAAUAACACAUUUUAUUUUUUAAUUUUAUAAUGAACUUUCCUGAUGUGUAAAAGUCAAUGAUCAGUUACCGUAUAUACUCAAGUAAAAGCCACACUUGUGUAAGAGCUGCACCCUCACUUUCCAGCCAAAAUUUCACGAAAAAAAACAGAGCAGAAGAAAUUUCAAAAGAUAAGCGGCGCCGUGGUUAGAGCUUGUCUGACCAGUCAUAUUGUUGCACGAAGCUGCUAGCAGAAAGUGUCUCACAGCGUACGGUACACCAUUCAAGCUAAAGCUUGUGGUGUACACAAAGCAGCAUAGCAAGCAUGGAGUUGGCCACAGUUUCAUUGUUCAAAAAAAUAUGUAUAUGUGUCUGUGGUCCAUACAGAAAGUGAACCUCAUAGAAACAAAGAAAUUGUGAAAACAAUAGCAUUUCCUCUUUUGUUACAUCGUGAUCAAGGGGAUCACGCAUGGCGAAAAACUUGGACUACGAUAAAGUGCCGCUAUGUAAAGGCCGCCCUUGUCAAAAUACAAAACAGAAAGAAAGAAAGAAAGAAAAGAAAGCACGCCCCUUAUGCGGGUACAUACGGCAUUCAUAUUCAAACAUGGUUUUGUCAUACUUUUGCUGCAUUAUACAAUAUUGCACUGUCGCUUUUUCGUUUUGUAUAUGUGACUUCAGAUGCAUUGCAUGUAUGUGAGUGCAGAACAAUAUGCUUUAAAGCUUGGUAUGGGUGUUGCACAUGGUGUCAUGUUUUGAGACUCCAGGUGCUCACCUGUGCCUGAUUUGUGUGUUGGCAGAGGCCACAAGGUGUGAUGGUGCUUUGGAGCAUUUGUAUGUACACACUUACUACAUAAUGUGUGUGAACCAGAAACAAUGUCACAGGUUCACUAUAUGGGCCUUUUUUGAGCAUCUGGGAAACGGAAUGUUCACUUGGUGACAGAUUUCCUGUCCUCCUUUGCAUUGUUCGGCGUUACAUUCAUAUUAACUGGUCACCUUCACCAUUGCUCAGUUUUUGCUUCAUGCUGCAAUUGUCUUGCCUAUUGUUUUGUUUAUGUUGUUGCUGAGUCGCUGUGUCGCCUAGCUGCUUUUCUUCUAUUGCUUAUUUGCAUUGUGAAGCCAUUUCUUAUGCAACAUUCAUGCAUCCACCAGUGACUGCACAAUCUAAACACUUCCCAUUGCUUGUUUUUUCUGAUAGCAUCUAUGCACAUCUGCUGGUGUGUUGCUCUUUUCCAGGUAUGCUAUACUUGUGGAUGCAGCUUUACUCAGUACAUUAUCUUUUCUAUGUUGUGCCAAGGAAUGGUGAGUUAGUCAGUAUAUGGUUAAAUGGAGUGCAGGGACCAUAAAGCUACCUGUGCAUAUGUGAAGAUGUGCCUCCACUGUCUUGUACAGUCAGCAUCAAAAGUUUUAUGAGAUGCAGGAUUUGCGGAAAAGCUGGAUUCCCACAAAGCCUGGCCACAUGACCUCGUAUUCAGAGUUUUCUUUCUGCAGCAGUCAGUGUGACCUACAUAGUUGUCGAUUCAGUUUGAAGCAGCAUGCUUCACCAGAGCAAGAGUUCACAAUUUUCGUUAGCCUGUGCCCCCAUAAGCGUUAAUGCUGGCUAAAUCAGUCAUCUCACCUUAGUGUGUAAACAAAGCUCAUAAAGGCAUGUGUAGCUAUAGUGACGCGCACAGCUGCGCCUUACACUGCACGUCAUUUCAUCUUGUGCUGUCUCUCAUGGUGCAUCAAGCCAUGCGCAGUCUUUCUUCUUUUUUUAAUGCCCUGUGUGUUGCUUUUUCAGGGCCAAGGAAGACUGGUGUCAAGGCCACAUCACUGUUCACUACCCUGGGAAAGAUGCACCUGUGCAAGCUGUGCAGAUAUGCUACGAUCAGCUACCCCAGCAUGGUGUUGCACCUGCAGAAUCACGCAAGCAAGAAACCAUACCAGUGUCCCCACUGUCCACGAGCCUUUGAACACUCAAGGAACUUUUAUUGCCACUCAUUCACCCAUCGGAACCAAGGGACGUUCAACUGCCUCACUUGCCACUGUAGCUGUAAAACACAGUACGAACUACUGUACCAUAUGCGCAAACACAAGUAGACAGUCUUCCAGAGCUGAGAACAAAGAAGUGAUUGAAAGAGAGAGUGCACUCAGCUACACGAAAAACAUUUAUUGGUAACAAAGAGUGUGAGGUGCUUGCAAGUGAAGGAUCACCAUUCCUUUCCUGCAGCAGCUGGAUCCUGUCUCUUUAGGACCUUUUCUGAUAUACAGGAUGUGACACUUAGCACUCUGUCAUGAGUACAAGAAGCUGUGAUGUGCACCUCUCAUACUGGGCAGCCUUCUGUUUUCUGUGUGAACCACUUUCAGCGAGAUGCGAGCAUUUGACCUGCACUGCUGGUAGCACCAAGUUGAUUAUUAAUGAAAAGAAGAGUCGGUGUGCUGCAUGGAUGUGAUAUACAUGGCAGACACACCUUGCUGCUGUAAACUAAGCAUUGCGUGACUAGCUGUAAAGAGAAAAUCUGUUGAACAUUCAUGAAGCUACUCAACUUGUUACGGUGCUCAAAAAAUAUUGCACUCUUCAUGUCAGUGCCAUGAAGAUUCAGCUGUUGGUUAUGUUUGUAGUAUAUUCAAAGGAUCUCUGAAUAAAAUUUAUCCCUCCGGUGGGAUUUUCUAGUUACAAA